rnacentral:tRNA from 1 species
GGGUCCGUAGUCUAGCCAGGCCAGGAUGCGAGGUUCGGGUCCUCGUGGUCGCGGGUUCAAAUCCCGCCGGACCCA